rnacentral:rRNA from 1 species
GACGAACGCUGGCGGCGUGCUUAACACAUGCAAGUCGAGCGGUAAGGCCCUUUCGGGGGUACACGAGCGGCGAACGGGUGAGUAACACGUGGGUGACCUGCCCUCAGCUCUGGGAUAAGCCUGGGAAACCGGGUCUAAUACUGGAUAUGACUCCAUGACGCAUGUUGUGGGGUGGAAAGCCUUGUGCGGCUGAGGAUGGGCCCGCGGCCUAUCAGCUUGUUGGUGGGGGUGANGGCCUACCAAGGCGACGACGGGUAGCCGGCCUGAGAGGGCGACCGGCCACACUGGGACUGAGACACGGCCCAGACUCCUACGGGAGGCAGCAGUGGGGAAUCUUGCGCAAUGGGCGAAAGCCUGACGCAGCGA